GAUGAACGCUGGCGGCGUGCCUAAUACAUGCAAGUCGAGCGAACAGACGAGGAGCUUGCUCCUCUGACGUUAGCGGCGGACGGGUGAGUAACACGUGGAUAACCUACCUAUAAGACUGGGAUAACUUCGGGAAACCGGAGCUAAUACCGGAUAAUAUAUUGAACCGCAUGGUUCAAUAGUGAAAGACGGUUUUGCUGUCACUUAUAGAUGGAUCCGCGCCGCAUUAGCUAGUUGGUAAGGUAACGGCUUACCAAGGCAACGAUGCGUAGCCGACCUGAGAGGGUGAUAGGCCACACUGGAACUGAGACACGGUCCAGACUCCUACGGGAGGCAGCAGUAGGGAAUCUUCCGCAAUGGGCGAAAGCCUGACGGAGCAACGACGCGUGAGUGAUGAAGGUCUUCGGAUCGUAAAACUCUGUUAUUAGGGAAGAACAAAUGUGUAAGUAACUAUGCACGUCUUGACGGUACCUAAUCAGAAAGCCACGGCUAACUACGUG
rnacentral:rRNA from 1 species